rnacentral:rRNA from 1 species
GACGAACGCUGGCGGCGUGCUUAACACAUGCAAGUCGUACGGUAAGGCCCUUUCGGGGGUACACGAGUGGCGAACGGGUGAGUAACACGUGAGUAACCUGCCCACAACUUUGGGAUAACGCUAGGAAACUGGUGCUAAUACUGGAUAUGUGCUCCUGCUGCAUGGUGGGGGUUGGAAAGCUCCGGCGGUUGUGGAUGGACUCGCGGCCUAUCAGCUUGUUGGUGGGGUAGUGGCCUACCAAGGCGGCGACGGGUAGCCGGCCUGAGAGGGUGACCGGCCACAUUGGGACUGAGAUACGGCCCAGACUCCUACGGGAGGCAGCAGUGGGGAAUAUUGCACAAUGGGCGCAAGCCUGAUGCAGCAACGCCGCGGGCGGGAUGACGGCCUUCGGGUUGUAAACCGCUUUCAGCUGGGACGAAGCUUUUUGUGACGGUACCUGCAGAAGAAGCACCGGCUAACUACGUG